GUCCUCGUCCCCGGGGGGCGUCGGCUCACCCCGGGCCCGCCCCGGUGGGUCGCCUCGGCUGGCGCCCAGCAGCUGGCUUAGAACUGGUGCGGACCGGGGGAAUACGACUGUUUAAUUA